GUCAACUGAACGCGCCCUGCCACGCUCGCAUGUUCUUUGUGAAAGAAAGGUUUGCAUGUUCUUGGGCAGUGCGCUUUUGCAGCAGCAGUUUCCCUUGUCUUCUGAUCAGGCAACUGGUCUGGUUGGCACGGAGAUUGGAACCGACGAGUAUUCUGAUCGCAGUGGAGGGGAAUAAACUACCCUCGGCCUCCUGCCGGGAAACUACGGGCGUGUUCGGUUCGCUGCCUAAGGCGCCACAGCCUAACCUUAGGCGCGCCAUAGCAUCGGAGGCAUGUGUUUGGUGAACAGCUAAAGUUAGUCAGCCACACUUUCUUAGGCGCGGUUCCAUCGACAUGCCACACAAUUUUCACGCCGCAUCUGCGGCGGUCGAUUUGAGCGCCACACCCCGAAGGCACGCCACACACUCCCCAUUUUCCUCCAGCCGCCACCACUCCUUCCCUUCCCGUCGCUUGUGACCUCCGUUACCGGAGCUUCCACCUCCCACCUCCGCUCUGAACGACGUCCCCGACCCCGUUUUCGGCUGCCGAUUGAAGGUACGCGUCUCCCCUUCUCCUCACGCAUAGAGCACGCAAGCGCCGCUGCACCGUGGGAGCAGGUGCUGCCAUGGGAGCACCAGCCGUCAACUUGCAGAUCUGUGGGCGGCCAUGGCAGCACAUGCUGCAAAAGCUCAAGAUCCGUUCGCGAUAGGGCCUAGCUGCUAUGGAUUUGGUGGCCGUCGUGGUCGGCGCCGUCUGCAUGGCUUGCUCGAUGUGUGUCCGUCCAUGCCUUGUCCCGUGGAUCUGCCUUAUUCUUCCCCCAUGCGGCUAGCUGCAUGCGUGUGUGCACAGGCGGCCAUGUUCUACGUGGCCAGGAGCUUGCUAACGCCGUGGAUCUUGGUCAAGAUUCAUUUGUCUAUUUCUGUACCUAACAUUCUUUUUUCUUUCUUGCAUGCAUAAACGAACAUUGCUAGGGGCUGCUCCAAGAUGGGUGCAAAAAAACUAUAUCUUGAGUAUUGCUAUUAUUACGAUCAUUACUUGCGAAGAAGAAGAUUGCUUGUUUGCAUUGCCAUAUGUGUUUGUAUGUUGUGGUACAAGCUGCAAGAAAAUAGAUUGGCCAAGAGGCAUGUCAAAUACGGUUCUAUGUUACAAAGAGAUCUAGAAAGGGAAAGGCGCCUGAAUCGUUUGUAUAAUGGGACUGAAGCCAACUGUAUUAGCGAGCUGCGUAUGCGUAAAUUUGUUUUCCAUAAUGGGACUGAAGAUGGAUGGUGUCAAUGAAGGCUCAUUCUUUUGCACUUCUUCUAGGCUGAUAUAUGAUGGCUAUGAAGAUAGAUGGUGUUGCUCACAACAAUUUGUUUAGCACUUAGAUGAUGCUACACACUUUUGUUAAUGCAUAUUUUGCUAUAAUGUAACUAAUGUGAACCAAUUAAGGUUGUUAUUGACAUGAUGUGGAGACAUUAUCAAUUUGAUAUGGGCAUAUGGAUAUGUUAUGUC